rnacentral:rRNA from 1 species
CCAAAAACCUAGCCCAACAAAACCAUAUGUUCUCUAUUUUUUACAUCACAAAACAAAACAUUUUAUUAGUUUAGUACAGGCGAUAGAAAAAUUUAUUGGAGCUAUAUAACUAGUACCGUAAGGGAAAGCUGAAAUAAAAAUGAAAUAAACAAUUAAGCACUAAAAAGUAAAGACUAAACCUUGUACCUUUUGCAUCAUGGUUUAACUAGUCCUAAUCAAGCAAAAAGAAUUUAAGUUUGACCCCCCGAAACUAAGCGAGCUACUCCAAGGCAGCUUCAUGAGCAAACCCAUCUCUGUUGAAAAAUAGUGGGGUGACCUUCGAGUAGAGGUGACAGACCAAACGAGCUUAGUGAUAGCUGGUUACCCAAUAAAAGAAUUUUAGUUCUACCUAAAGUUACACAAAGAAAAAUAACUUUCCCUUAUACUUUAGAGCUAUUCAAAUAAGGUACAGCCUGUUUGAACAAGGAUACAACCUAAGCUAAUGGGUUAAUAUCACUGCCAUAAUAAAGUAGGCCUAAAAGCAGCCACCUUUAAAAUAGCGUCAUAGCUUAACUCAAUUAUUUUUUAAUACCACAAUUAACCUAAAACCCUUCAUUAACAUUGGGUAAUUCUAUACAACUAUAGAACUUAUUAUGUUAAAACUAGUAACAAGAAGAAAACCCUUCUCUUUAAUGCAAGUAUAAGCCAGAAAGGAUAAACCACUGUCAAUUAACAUUUAUGACCAAAAAUUAGCAACAUCUCAAGAAAACCCUACUAAAACAAAUGUUAAUCUAACACAAGAGCAUUACAAGAAAGAUUUAAAGAUAAAGAAGGAACUCGGCAAAUACUAACCCCGCCUGUUUACCAAAAACAUCGCCUCUUGAAAAAAUAUAAGAGGUCUAGCCUGCCCAGUGACCUAGUUUAACGGCCGCGGUAUCCUAACCGUGCGAAGGUAGCGUAAUCACUUGUUCUUUAAAUAAGGACUAGUAUGAAUGGCAUCACGAGGGUUAUACUGUCUCCUUUUUCUAAUCAGUGAAACUAAUCUCCCCGUGAAAAAGCGGGGAUCAUACUAUAAGACGAGAAGACCCUAUGGAGCUUUAAACAAGUUAACAACUGCUAGCAACAAACAAGCACAGCAAAAUGAUUAACAGUUUUAGAUUGGGGUGAUCACGGAGCAAAAAACAACCUCCAUGACGGAAAGAAUCAUCUCCUGAGCGUAAAGCUUCAACUUAAAGCACUAAAAAAUUAACGUACAUUGACCCAAUAAUUUGAUCAACGAACCAAGUUACCCUAGGGAUAACAGCGCAAUCCACUUAAGAGGCCCCUUUCGACAAUGGGUUACACCUCAUGUUGAUCAGGUUCCUAUGGG